GAAGUCGACCCGGAGGAAAAAAAAACAAAGCCCGACCGAGUGCUGCCUUCACCGCCCCUCGUAAAUUACUCCAAGAUACGCCUCAACCAUCAACAAAAAUCUCGCAAAUAUUUCCAUACCUAACAUCAUAUUAAAAAUAUUUCAAUUUAUAAUUUUACCACCACGCUACAUAUUAAGAUACAAGAACAAGGAGGGAAAAUGAUUAUGAUUUAGGAAUCUUUGCGUCUCAAACGUCACAUUUUAUAACGCUUCCGGGUUUUAGCUAGCCUCCGGUCUGCAAUCAAAUAAAAAUAAAAAGACAAUAAACAAUAAACUGUAAAUUAUUAACAAUAAAUGAGCGUUCGAGCGACCGCAGUCAAACGUUGAGCUGCUGAAAGCAUGUCCCUCCUCCCGACUUUGCGUGUGUGUGUGUGGGGGGGGGGUCGACUGCGGCUUAUCAAAUCGAAGGUAACGUAAGCUAACUACACAACAACAGUACAGCAGUAGCUAUCAUUGAAUUUAUUUUUCCUCGAGAAAAUGUAGCUCACGGCUUUAUUUCAAUCCACUUUAUUUUUUACUAUUACUUCAAAUUUUUGAUAUCGAUAUUUUUACAUCACAAAUAGUCUGUUUGGAAAACUGAAUUCGAUUUCGGUCGUAUGUCGUCACCGUGACGUCACAAUAAAACAAUCCGGAAGUCACCACGAAGGCAGCUGAGCGAUUUUUGGGAAAAAACCUUUGCAGAUUUCAGGGGGGUGGCAAGCGGACGGCAAAGACCCGAGCAUCUGGGACACGUUUUGCCACGGGGGCGUCCGGGUGUGCGGGCGGGCAGACGGGCAACGUCGCCUGCGACAGCUAUGAAUCGUGGGAAAAAGACCUGCGGUGCAUCCGGCAUCGCCAACCCACUCCAGGGCUUGGCACAGCUAGAACUCGCUCUACAGGCCUACCGAGGAAUCCAGAAGUCGACGGUUGGUCCAAUUUCCAGAUGACGAAACGGCGGCCUUUUCCCAAAAACCUCAAAGAAAAGAAAACUUCGACAAUCCCGUUGACCGACUUUACAGCAGCAGCCGUACCCCGAGAACGCCCGAUCUCGGAAGCUAAGCGGGUUUGGCCCUGGUGAGUACUUGGAUGGGAAGACCGCCUGGGAAUACCAGAUGCUGUAAGCUUCUCUCCUCCAGCUAAAAUGCAGAGGGGUUGCGUCAGGGAGGGCAUCCGGCGUAAAAACUGUGCCAAACAAAGGUGCGUUCAUCUGACGGGACAAGCCGAAAGGAAAAGAAGAAGAAGAAGAUUCUAAAUUAGCUCAACAGCGAAUUGUGCUCCAAAACCUCCCAGGAUUUUUUGUGACCUGCUGCAAAUAAUUACCUUCUCCUGUCGACACAUGAGCCUUAUUUGCACAUCCCCCUUAGGAAUCCAGAAGUCGACGGUUGGUCCAAUUUCCAGAUGACGAAUCGGCCGUCCUUUCCCAAAAAACCUCGACGCGAAAGAGAAAAGAAAACUCCGACAAUCCCGUUGACCUACUUUCCAGAGGAUUCCCACCAGCGCAAAAAAUUCAGUCCGACCCCCCCCAUCCCCCACCAACCCCACCUGCACCGAGCCUCUUUGGGAAUACUGAUGACCCUGAAACCACCAGAGGAGGGCGGGAACAGGGAUUGGGGUCCGCGGACCUGCCUGAAGAAUUGAAAGGCCCCUAGAAUAUUAAAGUUCGGCCAAGGGACUUGCAGGACUUUGUAUUCAAAGUGCUUCUGUGUCCACUGUGAGAGAGAUAAUCUAAAAAAGAAAAAUCCAGAAAUCACAAUGUAUGAUUUUUUUUUUUUUUAAAAAAACAAUUUAUUUGUGUGAUACAGCUGCAAAUAAGUAUUUGAACACCUGAGAAAACCGA